GUUAAAACUUUUUAUAACUAUAAAUAAAUAGUAUAAAUAAAUAAGAUGCAUGCAGUUGUAGCUAGCGCUGCAUCUAUGUAUGUACUCAUAGUGUAUGACGUACUAGUUAUGCACUUUUAUCUUAUGUGUGUACUUAUAGUGUAUGACGUACUAGUUAUGCACUUUUAUCUUAUGGAAUAAAACAUAAAUCAAUAAUAAUUAGGGAAAUUCUACGGUGCAUUCGCCCAUUUGACUUCAGUGGUGAAGUCACUGUCUGACCAAUCAGAAUUAAGCCCUAAGUCCUAAUAGUGCCACAGUGGACUGAAGCAUUAAAUGACCCUUAUUGACACUUACUGUGGUCCGGGAAAAGCAUGGUGAGAACAAUGGAGGAACAGUACCGGCGUAAGCUUUUUUGUUUCAGAUUUUUAAGCGCUUUUGUUUCAGAUUUUUAAGUUCAUAAAGUGCGGGGGCGUGGGUUCGAUCCCAGCCACCUGCAGUUUUCCUUUACCUUUUUUUUAAAUGAUGCACGCUGGUGGUUCGUUUCGUCUGUCCCGUACUUCAAAUCAAUGAGAUUGGACACAAUUGUUUGGCAGGCACAAAGCUCACCAAAUUUUGUAUGCGAUAUUCAAUGAUCAUACAGAGGCUACUCUAAGCUUAUUAUUGGCUUUCAUGUGCUACUUAUGGGAAACAAUAUAUUAUUUGUUCUUUUUGUGACUGUAAAUAAUGUGAUCAAAAGUUUAUGCGGUGGAGAUCAAUGAAUUUACUAAUAUUUAUAGAGCAGUUUAUGGUUUA